CUGGAGGAUACAGAGAGGCACAAAACUCUCUAAACAUUUGUGAGAGUUUUGUUGAUUAAGGAGAAACCACAUUUUGCACAGAACAGACAGACAGACAGGGAAGGAGGCUGGCAAUUGCCUUCUAAACCUCCCGCUGCUGUGAAAAGAAGGGGAAAAGAUAAAAUCAAUCCAUGCAACAGCUCGCCUUUCUUUUGAACCUUACCAAGCUCGUGGCCUCAAGGAUAUAUCGAUGGCAGUGAAUUCCACAGACUUCCUCAAGCUGCUCUUCUUCCAAUGUGCUUCACUCCAGGAGUACAGAAGGACCUCGCAAAAGUGGAAGAGUAGAAUUCUGUGGAUAAACAGAGGACUUCAGUUUUCAGAGCUAUCACCUCACACUUACCUAUCUAUUCUUUCUUAUUACCAUAUCCAUCUAAUCUAAUCUAGCUAUCAUCACGUUCUCAUCAUCAUGAUACUCAAAACCUCUUUUCACCAGCACUCAAUUCACUUAAAUGUAA